GUGCACGUGCGCGUGCCAACUGCCCUCGCCCCACCUUAGGUCAACAAGGCCUACUCUCCCAGAAAGGCCGGGCGUCGCGUCACCUCGCCCUCCCCUCCCCUCAGCGGCCCACCCAACCCCAAGAAGCCUCCAGCUUGACCUCACCCAUUCCCCCCUCUCACGCCCCCCCCUCUCACGCCCCCCCCCCUCACGCCCCCGCAGGUCUUUAGGGCUGUGGGCCAGUACCUGUUAGUGGAUACGAGGAUGCUGCGAAUCACGUCCAGCCACAGGAACACCGCAACAACCUCCCCCAUCAAAGCCAGUCGUGCCUGAAUGCUCCGGUUUGGCAGAGCGCAAAUUUGUGCAAGGAUAACUAGAAGAGAUGAUCUUGAAUGCUAUCAUCACAAAGAAUUGGUUAUACCUGUUAUGGCAAUACAUCAGAACUUCAUUCCAUUUUCUGGCUGAAUAAUAUUCUACUAUAUGUAUACAUCACCUUUUGUCCAUUCAUUCAUUUGUUGAUGAACACCUGGAUUGUUUUCAUCUUUUGGCUCUGUGAAUAAUGCCACAAUAAGCGGUGACAUACAGGUCCAUCUCGAUCAAUGUGAAGAUAUGAAAAACAUCAGAAAGAGAAGAAUGUUGUCAAGUGUUGCCAGAGCACCGUAAAAGGCAAACACUACACCACAUUCUGCCCCCACAUAGAAUUAACACAAAAUAAUUUUGUAGAAAGGAGAGACACCUUAACUAACAAGGUUAAAUUUGAAAUUGGUGAAAAAAAGAAAAGCACAUACAUAUAUGAUCUAGAGACAGAACCCAUGUUUACAAGGGAGAAUAAAAAGUUACAUUUA